rnacentral:rRNA from 1 species
GACGAACCGUGCAAACGUUGUUCGGAAUCACUGGGCUUAAAGGGCGCGUAGGCGGGCCAGCCAGUCUGUGGUGAAAGCCUCCAGCUUAACUGGAGAAGUGCCGCGGAUACUGCUGGCCUCGAGGAGGAUAGGGGCAUCUGGAACGGUCGGUGGAGCGGUGAAAUGCGUUGAUAUCGACCGGAACUCCGGUGGCGAAGGCGAGGUGCUGGGUCCUUUCUGACGCUGAUGCGCGAAAGCCAGGGGAG